rnacentral:lncRNA from 1 species
GUGUGUGUUUGUGUGUGCUCUCCCUCCUCACUGUGUCCUCUCACUCCUCACUCAAACUGUGUUUGCACCUGGAUGGGUUAAAAGCAGAAGACCGCUUUUGUUUACGGAUAAAACCAUACUUGACUUUACUCACUUCAAAAAAUGCUGGCAAUGACUCCAGGGCAGUAAAGCAUGGCUGUGAACAGACUCUGUUUUGGACAGAUACUCCGCAAAACCAAGCUGAUCCCAUAGAAUGAUGUCAGCAGGAAGAGAAGGAGCGUCAAGAUGAACUGUCUGUGAUUCGCUUGGCCUACACAGCUGUUUAUCCUGCCAUGGAAAGACACAAAGACACAAAAGUCAGCAAUCAUGUGUGCACGCAUGCAGACAUUUUCAUUAAAAUAACUGAAGUUUAAAAAAAGUUGAACUUGAAUGUGGUUUGAUUGAGGAUUCUGUGGUCUGUGGCAUGUUUAUGUUAUCUGUGCCUCUGUCUGUCUGUGUGUGUGUUGAAGCAGCAUGCAGACAGAUUGGCCUGGUGAGAGCUUGCUUUACUGUGCUGAAAGCUGCGUUCCUGUGGCCUUUGCACAUGUCUCACCAGCCUGCCCUGCUCCAGUGACGUCUUUGGGGAAUCAGCUUGAACAUAUGCGUGUGUCUGAUGGGGAAGUGUGUGCUUGCAUACAAUUGAGAAAGUAUCAGAAAGAGUCAGAUUACUGGCUUGAGCACCAGAGGAUUGACUUACUGUAUGAUUAGUUUGAGAAUUGUUCAACUUCUGUAGCAAUGCUAUGCAUGAAGCCAAAUAAGACACAUUUUAAGGCACAGAUACAACAAUAAAAUAAAUAUUACAAAUCAAAGGACAUGUCAUAAUUUCAAUUAUUUUACAACAAGCUCAGCCAUAAAGUUAUAAUUUUUUUUAAAUGGGACAGUGAUGGCAAAAUUACUAAUAUGUACAGUAACCCUAGACCACUGGUCUUAUGUGGCAUGGGUAUAUUUUUGGCAAUAAUCAAAAAUUUAUUGUAUGCAACAUAGGCUCAUUCUGAAAACGUAGACCCAUAUAUUUAUUUCAAG